AGUGAACGCUGGCGGUAGGCCUAACACAUGCAAGUCGAACGGCAGCACAGUAAGAGCUUGCUCUUACGGGUGGCGAGUGGCGGACGGGUGAGGAAUACAUCGGAAUCUACUUUUUCGUGGGGGAUAACGUAGGGAAACUUACGCUAAUACCGCAUACGACCUACGGGUGAAAGCAGGGGAUCUUCGGACCUUGCGCGAUUGAAUGAGCCGAUGUCGGAUUAGCUAGUUGGCGGGGUAAAGGCCCACCAAGGCGACGAUCCGUAGCUGGUCUGAGAGGAUGAGCAGCCACACUGGAACUGAGACACGGUCCAGACUCCUACGGGAGGCAGCAGUGGGGAAUAUUGGACAAUGGGCGCAAGCCUGAUCCAGCCAUACCGCGUGGGUGAAGAAGGCCUUCGGGUUGUAAAGCCCUUUUGUUGGGAAAGAAAAGCAGCAGGUUAAUACCCCGCUGUUCUGACAGUACCCAAAGAAUAAGCACCGGCUAACUUCGUG
rnacentral:rRNA from 1 species